UUAAGUGGGAAACGAUGUGGGAAGGCCCAGACAGCCAGGAUGUUGGCUUAGAAGCAGCCAUCAUUUAAAGAAAGCGUAAUAGCUCACUGGUCGAGUCGGCCUGCGCGGAAGAUGUAACGGGGCUAAACCAUGCACCGAAGCUGCGGCAGCGACGCUGAUGCGUUGUUGGGUAGGGGAGCGUUCUGUAAGCCUGUGAAGGUGUGCUGUGAGGCAUGCUGGAGGUAUCAGAAGUGCGAAUGCUGACAUAAGUAACGAUAAAGCGGGUGAAAAGCCCGCUCGCCGGAAGACCAAGGGUUCCUGUCCAACGUUAAUCGGGGCAGGGUGAGUCGACCCCUAAGGCGAGGCCGAAAGGCGUAGUCGAUGGGAAACAGGUUAAUAUUCCUGUACUUGGUGUUACUGCGAAGGGGGGACGGAGAAGGCUAUGUUGGCCGGGCGACGGUUGUCCCGGUUUAAGCGUGUAGGCUGGUUUUCCAGGCAAAUCCGGAAAACUAAGGCUGAGGCGUGAUGACGAGGCACUACGGUGCUGAAGCAACAAAUGCCCUGCUUCCAGGAAAAGCCUCUAAGCAUCAGGUAACAUCAAAUCGUACCCCAAACCGACACAGGUGGUCAGGUAGAGAAUACCAAGGCGCUUGAGAGAACUCGGGUGAAGGAACUAGGCAAAAUGGUGCCGUAACUUCGGGAGAAGGCACGCUGAUAUGUAGGUGAAGUCCCUCGCGGAUGGAGCUGAAAUCAGUCGAAGAUACCAGCUGGCUGCAACUGUUUAUUAAAAACACAGCACUGUGCAAACACGAAAGUGGACGUAUACGGUGUGACGCCUGCCCGGUGCCGGAAGGUUAAUUGAUGGGGUCAGCGCAAGCGAAGCUCUUGAUCGAAGCCCCGGUAAACGGCGGCCGUAACUAUAACGGUCCUAAGGUAGCGAAAUUCCUUGUCGGGUAAGUUCCGACCUGCACGAAUGGCGUAAUGAUGGCCAGGCUGUCUCCACCCGAGACUCAGUGAAAUUGAACUCGCUGUGAAGAUGCAGUGUACCCGCGGCAAGACGGAAAGACCCCGUGAACCUUUACUAUAGCUUGACACUGAACAUUGAGCCUUGAUGUGUAGGAUAGGUGGGAGGCUUUGAAGUGUGGACGCCAGUCUGCAUGGAGCCGACCUUGAAAUACCACCCUUUAAUGUUUGAUGUUCUAACGUUGACCCGUAAUCCGGGUUGCGGACAGUGUCUGGUGGGUAGUUUGACUGGGGCGGUCUCCUCCUAAAGAGUAACGGAGGAGCACGAAGGUUGGCUAAUCCUGGUCGGACAUCAGGAGGUUAGUGCAAUGGCAUAAGCCAGCUUGACUGCGAGCGUGACGGCGCGAGCAGGUGCGAAAGCAGGUCAUAGUGAUCCGGUGGUUCUGAAUGGAAGGGCCAUCGCUCAACGGAUAAAAGGUACUCCGGGGAUAACAGGCUGAUACCGCCCAAGAGUUCAUAUCGACGGCGGUGUUUGGCACCUCGAUGUCGGCUCAUCACAUCCUGGGGCUGAAGUAGGUCCCAAGGGUAUGGCUGUUCGCCAUUUAAAGUGGUACGCGAGCUGGGUUUAGAACGUCGUGAGACAGUUCGGUCCCUAUCUGCCGUGGGCGCUGGAGAACUGAGGGGGGCUGCUCCUAGUACGAGAGGACCGGAGUGGACGCAUCACUGGUGUUCGGGUUGUCAUGCCAAUGGCACUGCCCGGUAGCUAAAUGCGGAAGAGAUAAGUGCUGAAAGCAUCUAAGCACGAAACUUGCCCCGAGAUGAGUUCUCCCUGACUCCUUGAGAGUCCUGAAGGAACGUUGAAG
rnacentral:rRNA from 1 species